ensembl:lncRNA
CAACCAACAGAUUGAGGACACCCCAGCGAUGAUAGAGUCCAUCACCAUAAUGGCUUCAGUUACAGACACCCCACCUUGUGGCUGCACAGCGUCAGGGGAUUUGUUUCAUCGAUUUCUUUCAUGCUUGAAAGCUGAAGACCAAGUGACCAGCAUCUGCGUCAGUUGGACUGGGCGGUUGUGAUCUUACACAACCUGAGCAGAUACUUUUUGUAUUGAGGACAGCCCGGUGAUGAUACAAAGUACAUUACCACAAUGGAUUCAGUUACGGACACCCUACCUUGUGGCUGCACAGCGUGAGGGGAUUUUUGUUUUGUUUUCUUUCAGGCUUGAAAGCUGAAGGUAAUGCAGCCAACUCUUCAAAACUGUGCUGUAUGUAAAUGUAUGUUUGAGUUAGAAUAUUUAAACCCGAAAAGUGGAUUGUUAUUUACACAUUAAGCCAGAGAAAUGGCGAAAGAUAAUACUAACCACAGACCAGACAUGGAACAGCCAACAACCUCUACACAUAAUCAAUCGAUCACACCCCAAAAUACAAAUGAACCAAUCAUUACUUUGUUACACAGCGAUGCACACAAUAACCCCCAGAUACAAGGCUUGUUAACCAAGCUUAGUAGCCCCCAUUUUUCACAUGAUCUAGUUGACUCUCCUUCAAGCUCUCUGAUGCAAACUCAGUGCAGUGAUGGCGAUGUUAGAGUUAUACAACAUAAUGUGUUUGACAAUGUUGAAGUAUGACAGUUGAUACAUUUACAAAAUACUGGUGAAGUAGGUGAUUUUGGCACAUUCUACGCAAGUAUUAUGGCGGGCUUGGAUACUUUGAUUGUUAUAGCUUCAGACUUUGUACACAAGUCCGGUGAUCGUCUGCAGAUUGAGUUGAUUGGUGAAUCUCUGAUAGCCCCCGUACAUGUGACCAUAAGAGCGGAUGAAUA